UCAUGUCACCUGGGACUAGACAGAUUUACUUCUUUUUCAAUCUGGAUGCUUUUUUAUUUUCUUGCCUAAUUUCACUGGGGAGAAUCUUUAGCAGUGUUAAAGAAAAGUGAUGACCAUUCUAAGUAACACCGAGGGUUAGUUCAGUGAUCUCAUCAACUUAGCUUCCACAAAGCCUCCUGGUUCCUGUUUUCUACGUAUCUUUCGUCAUCUCAGUAAGGCAAGUGAAAAACUUUGCUGAGAAAACACUGUCCCUGUCCUUCCCUCAAGGCAACGUCCAACUUAAACAAAUUGGCCCAUGCUUGAUACACACUUGCCAUUCAUGUCCUCAAGCUUCCGAAGGCCUGUCAGCAAAUGAAUGAAUGGAGGUCAUGUUUAUACUUACACUGUCAACAGUCAGCAAUUGUUGGGACUGAAUUAUUCUCAUGGCUAGUUAUUAAAUCAUUAAGUCUUAAAAGUUUAUUCAUCCUAACAGUGCUCAGGACAAUCUAGUUUUGUUUUUCUAAAUGAUGAAUAAAAUGUUUUCAAAUUUGAGGGUCUGAAUGAACCUAACAAAUUAUCACCCUUCUAAAAGGAACUUAUAACAGAGCCAUGAUUUAUAACUUUGAAGAUGUCAAACUUCUUUGCUAACAAUAAAUACUUACUGACUUCACAUUAGCUGCCAUGUCCAUCAACGAGGAAACAGAAAGGUGAAGUGAAACUCACUAUAUCUCACGAUAUUUCCAAUGCAGACUAUGGAGAGAUAGAGAAGAGAUAAGAAAGAGAAAGAGUUCCAGGGAACAUGUGCAGGAUGUGCAGUUUUGUUACAUAGGUAAACGUGUACCAUGGUGGUUUGCUGAACCUAUCAACCCAUCACUGAGGUAUUAAGCCCCACAUGCAUUAGCUAUUUAUCCCGAUGCUCUCCCUCCCCCGACCCCAUGACAGGACCCAGUGUGUGCUGUUCCUUUCCCUGUGCCCAUGUGUUCUCACUAAAAACAUAAAAUUUUAAUAGAAUCUCUUUUCAUUUAGAAGGUGACAAUUCUAUAGUUUCUUAAUGAUAAAAAAUAUUUUUAACUUCUAAAGCUAAUUAAAAUUGCUUAUAAUUUGAUUAUAUAUUAUAUACUAUUUAAAAACAUAGCACCUUAUUUCAUGGCUGAGGUUAUCUCUAGAAAUACAAAUAUCUUUUUGCCUGUCUUUUGAAAACACAGAAUAAUACAGUCAUGUUUACAAAUAAUCUUUUUAGAGCGUGCAAUAAAAGAGUUCUACCCUGGCUAAGAAGAAAUUACUG
rnacentral:lncRNA from 1 species